rnacentral:misc_RNA from 1 species
CUUGGGCGACUGAGCCUGCUGGCGGCUGGCUGGGAGAGUCAGGGGGGGGACUGGAAGCGGUUGCAGCUGCUGCUUGCUUUCUUGGCUCAGCUUCUGCACGCAGCUGCUCAAACUGAAGCCGCCACCGCCUGUGCUGCAUCAUCCCCGUCUCUUUUCACCACCACCAUCAUCUCUUCUUGUUCUUCUUCUUCUCUUCUGUCUGUCACCGGCCACACUUCCUCUCCUCUCCUCCUCCGAUCCCUUCGCUUCUUCCACUACUGCUACUUGUUUGUGUGUGCAGCACAGCAGCGUUGUGUGCCUCUCUCCCCUCCUUUUCUCUCUCUCUCUCUCUCGUGUAGC